rnacentral:rRNA from 1 species
ACUAUAGCUUGACACUGAACAUUGAGCCUUGAUGUGUAGGAUAGGUGGGAGGCUUUGAAGUGUGGACGCCAGUCUGCAUGGAGCCGGCCUUGAAAUACCACCCUUUAAUGUUUGAUGUUCUAACGUUGGCCCCUGACCGGGGUUGCGGACAGUGUCUGGUGGGUAGUUUGACUGGGGCGGUCUCCUCCCAAAGCGUAACGGAGGAGCACGAAGGUUAGCUAAUCCUGGUCGGACAUCAGGAGGUUAGUGCAAUGGCAUAAGCUAGCUUGACUGCGAGCGUGACGGCGCGAGCAGGUGCGAAAGCAGGUCAUAGUGAUCCGGUGGUUCUGAAUGGAAGGGCCAUCGCUCAACGGAUAAAAGGUACUCCGGGGAUAACAGGCUGAUACCGCCCAAGAGUUCAUAU